rnacentral:sRNA from 2 species
UCCAAUAUCUGCUCCCUGUCCUGCACCACUGCUUUGUCCAACUGCAAUCAUCAAUCCUCAAGACAUCUACUCUUUGAAAAGCCAACCUUCCCUCCACACCUACCUUUGAGCUGGUCUCAUUGUACUCAUCGCAAUUAAGAUCUUUUUUUCAGUCUUACAAAGACCCUGCUUUGUCCAAAAUCCUCUUUUAUUCCACCUCGUUCUUUCUUCCCUGGUCAUCUCUUCCUGGUCAUCUCUUCUUUGUCGCGAACCCUCUACCCUGCCUUUCUCUAGAAGGCGUCUAUCUUCUGCACUCCAACCAAAACCCCAGCUCUUUCUACAAGCACCUCCUCUUCUCCAAUAUCUCCAGCUCAGCUGAACCUGCGGUUGAAAGCGUGUUCC